ensembl:snRNA U2 U2 spliceosomal RNA
AUCACUUCUCAGCCUUUUGGCUAAGAUCAAGUGUAGUAUCUGUUCUUAUCAGUGUAAUAUCUGAUAUGUCCUCUAUCUAAGAACAAUAUAUUAAAUGGAUUUUUGGAGCAGGGAGAUGGAAUAGAAGCUUGCUCCAUUCACUCCAUGUAUCAACCCAGUAUUGCAGUACCUCUGGGAAUGGUGAAUCAAAA